CAGCCAUAACAAUGGAAACACAAAACAACAACAAAAGAGAAGGCUUUCUUUUUACUUUGUGUCUCUAAAGCCACACAAAGAGAGAGAAAAAAAACAAACAACAAAGACGUCACAAAGUGAAGAUUCCUGCCUGUAUCCACCAGUGCAGUGCAGCGAUCAGGUUUUUUUUUUUUUAAUUGUCUGUGGUCAGAGUCAAAGGGCUAUGGGAGGGUCCUUUUUUUGUAAAAGUAGAAAAAAAAACCUUUUUGAAAAUCUAGCCAUUUUCUCUGCUCAUUGUUGCCUUCUCCUCUGCUCCUGUGCUUUUUCUGUCUUGCCCUCCCUCUCAAACCCUCUUUUUGCCCCCAAAAUGCCCUCCCCUCACUCCGUCCCCGUCUUUGAAAAUAACAGUGUCUUUGGUAAACCACUGUUCAUUAUUCCCUUCUCCUUAUCCAUGCGCAGAAAAUUGUGUGCAAAUGAUGCAGAGUACGCCAAUCCCUUUAAAAGUGGAGACUGGAGUGGAGACCUUAUUCGGCAGUGUGUUAGUGCUUUUCCUCUCUUCCCCGUGUGUGUGUGUGUGUGUGUGUGUGUGUGUGUGUGUUUUGUUGGUCCGACUUCUCAACAACACAGAAAAGCACUUAAUGCUCCACGAGGAGUACAGUGUGUGUGUGUGUGUGUUUGUGUGUGCGCGCGCACAGGCAGCUGAGUGAUUUAUUAGUUGACUCUUGUCUGAAUUUAGACAGUCAAGGACACAUUACUUAUUUGGCACAGUCUUUGAUUUAACCACCAUUAAUUUAGCGUUUCAGCGGUUUUUCUCUCUGAACAGCCAGAGAUGCAUGAUGGCUACUAUCACGGUCACAGAAGGCUGAAACACAGUGCCCACAGUGACUCACUCCACCCACAGUGGAGACCCAGCUCCGACUUGAUGCCACAGCUUGAAGAAGUAGCUUGGGCUCAGACUGAUCGUGGUUUGACUUCUGCCCCCUGCAGUGUUGUUCCCUCUCUCCACUUCUAAGACGUCUGUACUACAAAUGCCGACGACAAGUAGCUGUUUAUAUUGUUCCAGAUUUUACUAUUAACCACAAUGAUAAUAACAGCGACAAAGGCGUCUCAACACGUGGUGUCUUUACAGUUAUCAUAGGACUGCUUCCAUCAUGGGUUUUUGUAACAUCCGUUUGCUUUGUUUUACAACUAUUGUUACCCCGCCCCACACCCCUCCUCCUCUGUGCCGUCAUACAUAUGCAUACAUAUACAGAUAAAUAUAUAUAUAUAUACAUAUGUGUACAAGCACAGAGAUUAAAAUCGUUGUGUAUUUUUUGCCUCUUAUUAUUUAAGCAAUUGUGAUGUAAUAGGUUUUAGGCCUAAGGUCUGUUAUUGCAAUACUUUUACAGAAAAGAAGAAAAAAAAAUCAAAAAAUGUUGCUCUAAGUGCUGUUGUAGUCAAAGAUUUUAUGCUUGUACUUAUGCUGUAGUCAAACUGCAGCGUUAAUGAAUAAAACUUUAAAAGUAAU